AGUGAACGCUGGCGGUAGGCCUAACACAUGCAAGUCGAACGGCAGCACAGUAAGAGCUUGCUCUUACGGGUGGCGAGUGGCGGACGGGUGAGGAAUACAUCGGAAUCUACUUUUUCGUGGGGGAUAACGUAGGGAAACUUACGCUAAUACCGCAUACGACCUACGGGUGAAAGCAGGAGAUCUUCGGACCUUGCGCGAUUGAAUGAGCCGAUGUCGGAUUAGCUAGUUGGCGGGGUAAAGGCCCACCAAGGCGACGAUCCGUAGCUGGUCUGAGAGGAUGAACAGCCACACUGGAAGUGAGACACGGUCCAGACUCCGACGGGAGGCAGCAGUGGGGAAUAGUGGACAAUGGGGGCAAGCCUGAUCCAGCCAUACCGCGUGGGUGAAGAAGGCCUUCGGGUUGUAAAGCCCUUUUGUUGGGAAAGAAAAGCAGCAGGUUAAUACCCCGCUGUUCUGACGGUACCCAAAGAAUAAGCACCGGCUAACUUCGUG
rnacentral:rRNA from 1 species